rnacentral:rRNA from 1 species
GGGUUGUGAGGUUAAGCGACUAAGCGUACACGGUGGAUGCCCUGGCAGUCAGAGGCGAUGAAGGACGUGCUAAUCUGCGAUAAGCGUCGGUAAGGUGAUAUGAACCGUUAUAACCGGCGAUUUCCGAAUGGGGAAACCCAGUGUGUUUCGACACACUAUCAUUAACUGAAUCCAUAGGUUAAUGAGGCGAACCGGGGGAACUGAAACAUCUAAGUACCCCGAGGAAAAGAAAUCAACCGAGAUUCCCCCAGUAGCGGCGAGCGAACGGGGAGCAGCCCAGAGCCUGAAUCAGUGUGUGUGUUAGUGGAAGCGUCUGGAAAGGCGCGCGAUACAGGGUGACAGCCCCGUACACAAAAAUGCACAUAUUGUGAGCUCGAUGAGUAGGGCGGGACACGUGGUAUCCUGUCUGAAUAUGGGGGGACCAUCCUCCAAGGCUAAAUACUCCUGACUGACCGAUAGUGAACCAGUACCGUGAGGGAAAGGCGAAAAGAACCCCGGCGAGGGGAGUGAAAAAGAACCUGAAACCGUGUACGUACAAGCAGUGGGAGCACGCUUCGGCGUGUGACUGCGUACCUUUUGUAUAAUGGGUCAGCGACUUAUAUUCUGUAGCAAGGUUAACCGAAUAGGGGAGCCGAAGGGAAACCGAGUCUUAACUGGGCGUUAAGUUGCAGGGUAUAGACCCGAAACCCGGUGAUCUAGCCAUGGGCAGGUUGAAGGUUGGGUAACACUAACUGGAGGACCGAACCGACUAAUGUUGAAAAAUUAGCGGAUGACUUGUGGCUGGGGGUGAAAGGCCAAUCAAACCGGGAGAUAGCUGGUUCUCCCCGAAAGCUAUUUAGGUAGCGCCUCGUGAAUUCAUCUCCGGGGGUAGAGCACUGUUUCGGCAAGGGGGUCAUCCCGACUUACCAACCCGAUGCAAACUGCGAAUACCGGAGAAUGUUAUCACGGGAGACACACGGCGGGUGCUAACGUCCGUCGUGAAGAGGGAAACAACCCAGACCGCCAGCUAAGGUCCCAAAGUCAUGGUUAAGUGGGAAACGAUGUGGGAAGGCCCAGACAGCCAGGAUGUUGGCUUAGAAGCAGCCAUCAUUUAAAGAAAGCGUAAUAGCUCACUGGUCGAGUCGGCCUGCGCGGAAGAUGUAACGGGGCUAAACCAUGCACCGAAGCUGCGGCAGCGACACUAUGUGUUGUUGGGUAGGGGAGCGUUCUGUAAGCCUGUGAAGGUGUACUGUGAGGUAUGCUGGAGGUAUCAGAAGUGCGAAUGCUGACAUAAGUAACGAUAAAGCGGGUGAAAAGCCCGCUCGCCGGAAGACCAAGGGUUCCUGUCCAACGUUAAUCGGGGCAGGGUGAGUCGACCCCUAAGGCGAGGCCGAAAGGCGUAGUCGAUGGGAAACAGGUUAAUAUUCCUGUACUUGGUGUUACUGCGAAGGGGGGACGGAGAAGGCUAUGUUGGCCGGGCGACGGUUGUCCCGGUUUAAGCGUGUAGGCUGGUUUUCCAGGCAAAUCCGGAAAAUCAAGGCUGAGGCGUGAUGACGAGGCACUACGGUGCUGAAGCAACAAAUGCCCUGCUUCCAGGAAAAGCCUCUAAGCAUCAGGUAACAUCAAAUCGUACCCCAAACCGACACAGGUGGUCAGGUAGAGAAUACCAAGGCGCUUGAGAGAACUCGGGUGAAGGAACUAGGCAAAAUGGUGCCGUAACUUCGGGAGAAGGCACGCUGAUAUGUAGGUGAAGUCCCUCGCGGAUGGAGCUGAAAUCAGUCGAAGAUACCAGCUGGCUGCAACUGUUUAUUAAAAACACAGCACUGUGCAAACACGAAAGUGGACGUAUACGGUGUGACGCCUGCCCGGUGCCGGAAGGUUAAUUGAUGGGGUCAGCGCAAGCGAAGCUCUUGAUCGAAGCCCCGGUAAACGGCGGCCGUAACUAUAACGGUCCUAAGGUAGCGAAAUUCCUUGUCGGGUAAGUUCCGACCUGCACGAAUGGCGUAAUGAUGGCCAGGCUGUCUCCACCCGAGACUCAGUGAAAUUGAACUCGCUGUGAAGAUGCAGUGUACCCGCGGCAAGACGGAAAGACCCCGUGAACCUUUACUAUAGCUUGACACUGAACAUUGAGCCUUGAUGUGUAGGAUAGGUGGGAGGCUUAGAAGUGUGGACGCCAGUCUGCAUGGAGCCGACCUUGAAAUACCACCCUUUAAUGUUUGAUGUUCUAACGUUGACCCGUGAUCCGGGUUGCGGACAGUGUCUGGUGGGUAGUUUGACUGGGGCGGUCUCCUCCUAAAGAGUAACGGAGGAGCACGAAGGUUGGCUAAUCCUGGUCGGACAUCAGGAGGUUAGUGCAAUGGCAUAAGCCAGCUUGACUGCGAGCGUGACGGCGCGAGCAGGUGCGAAAGCAGGUCAUAGUGAUCCGGUGGUUCUGAAUGGAAGGGCCAUCGCUCAACGGAUAAAAGGUACUCCGGGGAUAACAGGCUGAUACCGCCCAAGAGUUCAUAUCGACGGCGGUGUUUGGCACCUCGAUGUCGGCUCAUCACAUCCUGGGGCUGAAGUAGGUCCCAAGGGUAUGGCUGUUCGCCAUUUAAAGUGGUACGCGAGCUGGGUUUAGAACGUCGUGAGACAGUUCGGUCCCUAUCUGCCGUGGGCGCUGGAGAACUGAGGGGGGCUGCUCCUAGUACGAGAGGACCGGAGUGGACGCAUCACUGGUGUUCGGGUUGUCAUGCCAAUGGCACUGCCCGGUAGCUAAAUGCGGAAGAGAUAAGUGCUGAAAGCAUCUAAGCACGAAACUUGCCCCGAGAUGAGUUCUCCCUGACUCCUUGAGAGUCCUGAAGGAACGUUGAAGACGACGACGUUGAUAGGCCGGGUGUGUAAGCGCAGCGAUGCGUUGAGCUAACCGGUACUAAUGAACCGUGAGGCUUAACCUUACAACGCCGAAGCUGUU